UGACCUCGGAUCAGACGUGAUUACCCGCUGAAUUUAAGCAUAUUAUUAAGCGGAGGAAAAGAAACUAACAAGGAUUCCCCUAGUAACGGCGAGUGAACGGGGAAGAGCCCAACACCGAAUCCCUUGGCGCAAGUCAACGGGAAAUGUGGUGUUAAGGUAGCCCUUCGUGUCAGUCUAGGCGUCUCAAGUCCACCUGAUUGUGGCUCAAGCCCAGAGAGGGUGUAAGGCCCGUAGAGACGCUCCGACUGAUUCCUGGGGUUUACCUACGAGUCGGCUUGUUUGGGAAUGCAGGCCAAAGCGGGUGGUAAACUCCAUCCAAGGCUAAAUACUGGCACGAGUCCGAUAGCGACAAGUACCGUGAGGGAAAGUUGAAAA
rnacentral:ncRNA from 1 species